UGAAACAAAUUUUGUUUCUCGGCAUUAAAAUCACCUAUGUUCCUCUGCCAAUGUCAUGACCUCCCUCUGCCAGUGUCGUGAACUACUCUAACUCUCGACUGCCGGGGUCGAGAAAACACUAGUAUCGGUCAAAAAUACUGGGGUCGAGAAUAAAUGGGCCAAGACCGAGAAGAACUGAGGUCGAUAAAAACUGCUACUGGAGCUCGGCCUGCCUAUAUAUAUAUAAACCUGAUUGCUUGAUGUGAUCUGUCAGCCGUGGAGUUGGCAUAUAUAUAUAUAUAUAUACACAUAUAUAUCUUUCCUUCUUGGUAAUAGCACCCCAAAGCAAGCUGCCAUGCAUCUCCAUCACAUCUUUUCUUUUCUUUCUCUCUUUGUCAACCACUUUUGCCGAAAAUAUUUGCCAUCAUCAGGUCUAGGGUUUAGGCUUAAAGCCUGUCUUCAGUUUGAACCUUUCAAAGCCCCACUUAUAUAUAUAUAAAUAUCACAAUUCGGCCAAAAGCAUUCAUUCGGCCAAAAGGUAGUUUUUUUUUUUUUUUUUUGAUGUGAUAUAUAUAUGGACGCAGCUUUUUCAAAUGGUCGAGGCCGAGACCGAAGCCAAGACUCGGCCGACCCUUUUUUUUAAAGUAGGUACUCCUCGGCCAAUUAAUCUAUAUAUAUUUGAACUGCCUUUCUCGGCCAACCUUUCUUAUACGCCUCGGCCAACUGAUACAUACAUACUUGGAUUGCUGCACUGUUGUUGCCCCUCUUAUUUCUUAUGCAUCGGCUUAAGUAGCCAGAUGAUUAAGAAAAUAUUUUUUAUUUUUAUUUUUCUAAAUGGAAAUAAAAGUGGCCGAACCAUAUUCAGGAGGAGGCCAACGAUGUUUUAUUCCAAAACGAGAUCUUGUAAUAACAAAAUUUUGAAAUUGAUUUCGCCCUAGGCCGAAUAAAGAAUUUUCUCCAAAUAUUUUUGACUUGGCGAAAUAUUUUUCAUUUUCGGCCGCCGAAUAUGUUAGACAAUUAUUAUGCCCCUCAGGCAUAAUUACGUUGUUAAUUUUGGCUUUUAACCCAAAUAACUUGGCCAAAUGGAAUUUCUCUAUAUCGGCCUUAUCGCCAAUAAUCAUAUCAAUUGGCGUGGUUUCUUAGGCUAGACCAAUGUCUAGGCCUUGUUCGUCAUUGGAGCAAUUUUCUGGCGAAUCAUUUUUUGAGUCGAUUUGUGGCUCAGAAACUUUAACUUUUUCUUCUAGGCCUACCACACUUUCAGUCUCGACCGAAAAAAUAGGUGGCCUAGGUUUUUCUUCUUGGCCGACCAUAUUUUCAGCCUCGACCGAAAAAAUAGGUGGCCUUUGUUCUUCGGCCAAAUUAACAAUUUUCUUAGGCCGAUGUCUGAUUACGGCCGGAGCGAAAAAUUGCCCCCCGGCCUUUGGGCCUAACCAUUUUUCAAAUGGAAUUGAUCUGUAAUCAGAAACGUAAGGAAAAUUUUCUUCAUCUAGCCAGACAUUAAAUCGAGCCCUGUCUUCAUUUACCCAUUGCC
rnacentral:lncRNA from 1 species